UCAGGACCGACAUCUAGCUGUCAUUCCAUACUGAAAGAGGAAGGUUCUUGUGAUUACAAGUUAAGGAAGAGACAUCAUAAUAUGAUCCAGACUGAAUUGAAAAAUGAUCACAAACCAAAGCUAGCAGUGGGUUCAAAGAGGAAACCUGAGGGUGCAAAUGUAGUGCUUAGAGGUUCGGCAGUUUCAGCAGCACGUAAUGACUCUGUUUAUCAUGUUGAUUUAUCUUUUGAGAAACCUGAAGGUGAGACGCAAAAACAAAAUUCUUCAGGAAACAUGGACUCAUCUAUAGAUAAUUUGAGGUCUAGUUUAGAUGUUGAUAGUGUAAGGGCAGAAAAUAAAUUGCUGAAAGACAAAACGUAUUUUGAGGCUUCAGAUGAUUUUCAAACAAAUAUCAAAGUCAAUUGUGAGGAGAAAAAUGAGUUUUCCCAGGGGAAUAUGAGGCGUGGCUGUGAAAAUCAAGCCUUUCAGAGAAAUGAAGUCUCCUAUCCCUACAAAAGAUCAAAAUGUUCAGCUACUGCAGAUGAUGCAACCAUGAUAGAAGUCCAAACAAGCAGAAAAAAUGAUUCUAAAAGUCCUAAUGUUCUUGAUGACAUCGAUAAUACAGAGGUUAAAAGAACACCAGGAGUGAAGGCUGAGAAUGGCUUCUUCAGAGUGCAGACAAUUUCUAAUGAGCCCAAUGCUUCUGUAGAUGAAGAUGAUCUUCCCCCAACAAACUGUCGUCAACGUGCAUUGCAGGCUGAAAAUAGAUUGGGAGGUUCUGGUGCUCGUGAAAAAUAUUUAUUGCAAUGUGAUAAAGUUCGUUCACCGGCUAAGCAGUUGCCAAAAAAGCGGAGAGCUGUUCGCCUUUGUGAUGAAGAUGAUGAUUGUGAAUUGCCAAAAACUCCACUUCAUGGAGGAUUUGCCAAUAAGGUUUCUGUUCUUCCACCUGUGCAAGAUUCUACAAGGAAAACUUCUUUGCAUGGUAAGAAUUUUGUCCAAGAACAAAUAGGCUUGACCACAUCUGACACAGCUGAGGGUGGCUCAAAGGAACAUGUAUUACCUACUCUAACAUCCAAUAAAGCUUCAUUAGCAACUGCUAAGCAGGGCAUGGCAAAGAGUAGUGAAAUUUCAGCUGCACAGUUAUCUUCUAGUCCUGAACAGUUAUAUUCUGGGAAGUUAUCAACCCAUUUUGGCCAUUUUACGAGAGAAUGAGCACUUGCAUUUCUGGAAAGCUUGGAUAGUCGGCAUACGAAGAAUUGAGCAAAACUUUUUGCACACGGUGUCCAUUUUGGGCCCAUAAGUACCUUUUGAAAAUGUAGCGACCGUUUUGGAUUGAACUCACAACUUCAUCGUGACGUUCGAAGGACAGCUUUUGGAACAAUAUUUGCAUCAGAGCUCGCUGGAGUCGAGUUCUUCAUAACAAGAUAUCACAAUCCUAAUUAUACACCUUAUCUUAAACAGAAAUAUAGAAAGUGGAUUCGAUUUUAUUUCUUUCAAUAUUUAGUAACCAUUAAGUUGGAUUUUUUUUUUUUAGUGUAAGAUUAUUUUUGCAUAUAAAUGAGACUACUAUUGUUGAAUAAUUCAUUCCUUGAUUAUGAUGUUUAGAUGUAUUAGAAUUCUUCUCUAAUUCUUUGCUCAGUUCUUCUAUUCUUUCCUCAGUUCUUCUAUUCUUUCCUUCUAUCUUAUUCUCUUUGAUCAUUCCACAUCAGGUCAAAAGGUUGAAAUGUAUGUUGAUAAGGUUUGGAAAUUCUUAUUUGGUACGGUUGUUUCUGGUAGAAAUUUAGAAAUUUGAUAUGUUUCUAUUUUCUUGCAAAUAUGUAAUGACUUGUGGUUUACUUGUUUGGUAAACCAUAUAUGAUUAUACGACAUUGACAGAGAUAUGAAAGUGCAUUGUAGCUGAGAAUUUGAUUGCGAACCUUGGAAAUGAUCCGUUUUGUCUAGAAAUUAUUUCCUUAUUUUCUUGGUAUUAUUGUUUGUGCACUUCAAUAUGUCUUCUUAUAUUGUUGACAUAGUUUCUGGUACAAAUUCAAAGAGGGUUUUGUGUGGUAAGUUCGAAGUUUCCCUUUUUGCAACAGAGCUUUUGUUGCACCUGCAGAUAUUCAGGCAUUCACCCGUGAGGCAAAAGAUAAAGUGUCUGCUCGAUGCCAGGGUAAAACAGUUAAAAUUUUCGCCCAAGCAGUGAAGGAAAUCUGUGAAGAAUUUGAAGAAUUACAGCACAAAAAGUCUAGUGGUAUAAGAGAUGAUACCAAUAAACUAAUUCUUGGGUCUGAGCUGCCUUCAGAUGAUAAAGUGGCAGAUAAUACCUUGGAGGUUAAUCUAAAAGAUAAUUUGAAAGGAUCAAAUAGCAAAAUGGAGACCAAAGGGCUGGAAAACCUGAGCUCUGAGCUAAAGCCCUGCUCACAGCAGAGACAAAAUGAGUCGGACUGUAAAGAUAUAAUGCUUGACAUUUCUAAUGAUGUAAGUCAUAGUUUGUCCCCAGUUACAUCUUCAAAAAAGAGGAAAAAGCCUUCUGCCGAUGGUAUUAAUAUUGUGAAGGAGUCAGGACCGACAUCUAGCUGUCAUUCCAUACUGAAAGAGGAAGGUUCUUGUGAUUACAAGUUAAGGAAGAGACAUCAUAAUAUGAUCCAGACUGAAUUGAAAAAUGAUCACAAACCAAAGCUAGCAGUGGGUUCAAAGAGGAAACCUGAGGGUGCAAAUGUAGUGCUUAGAGGUUCGGCAGUUUCAGCAGCACGUAAUGACUCUGUUUAUCAUGUUGAUUUAUCUUUUGAGAAACCUGAAGGUGAGACGCAAAAACAAAAUUCUUCAGGAAACAUGGACUCAUCUAUAGAUAAUUUGAGGUCUAGUUUAGAUGUUGAUAGUGUAAGGGCAGAAAAUAAAUUGCUGAAAGACAAAACGUAUUUUGAGGCUUC
rnacentral:lncRNA from 1 species